rnacentral:rRNA from 1 species
ACUAACAACGAGCGAUGUGCGGCGGUAGACCGAAGGGACCAAUCGUGUUGCGUAUGUACUGGGUGUAAGGGGAGCGUAGGAGGUGUGACAGGUCACUGAUGAAAUCUCUGGGCUUAACUCAGAACGGCCAAGGGGAACUGUUGUGUUAGAGUGCAGAAGGGGCAAGCGGAAUUCUUGGUGUAGCGGGGAAUUGCGUAGAUAUCAAGAGGAACACCUGAGGUGAAGACGGGUUGCUGGGCUGACACUGACGCUGAGGCGCGAAAGCCAGGGGAGCAAACGGGAUUAGAUACCCUAGUAGUC